CUGAGCACAGCAGGUUGUCAGUCAACAAUGAUCUUUUUAUAGUCAGACUCAUGGAUAUUGAGGGCUUUUCCCUGAAUUUGGGUCAAUUGAAAUUUCCCUCCAUGACUCAGGGUUGAGGCCUUAACUAAGCCGUCCUGAAGGUGUCUCUGUGCCCUAAUUAUCAGUUCCGUUAUUUGGUUCCACCUGAGGUUGAAUACCAUUCCCUGUAAAACGAGAUCCUUGGUGUGAGUGCAUACUAAUUUCUGCCUUUGUUCAUGGUAUGAUU